UUUAAUCAUUAUAGUUUGUUAUUAAAUUUAAAUAUCCAUGAAUUUAAUUUAUAAAUGCAGUGUGAUCAUAAUCAUUAGCUAUGCAAACCAGUUGAGAACUGUGAGUAUGCCUGUACACUUAUUUAAGCAAUUUGAUGCGUAUGUAUACCCCAUUUAUGGCAGUGUAUGCACUCCGUGCCGUGUGUUUUUGUAAUGGAUUAUAAUCACACAGUUGCAGUUUAUACAAUCGGACAUUAAAAACGUGGUCAUAGCUCCAUUUGGACGAAAAUGAAAUCAAAUCUCUUUCGUAUGUGAAACUGUCGCACACUUCUGGCCCAUCCGGUUAGCGGCUAGUGGAGGCCGAAGUUACGCUGCUGGAGCUGGGCCUGUGACAGUGACUUGGGGACUGGGGCUGGGGCUGGGGCUGGGGCCGUGGCCGGGGCUGAGGUUGUAGCCAAGUUGAGCACUCGCUAGAUCACUCGAUUCCCCAUAAUUGAAACGGGUUUGCCACAAGUGAGCAUGUUUUUUGUGUAAUUCGACGUCGUCGUCAUCGCCAUGGACGAUGUUUCGCAGUUGAGUGUCGGUUAUAAAUUUGGCGGACGUCAUCCGCUUACAGUGAAAACCAGACGAACGCAAUUCCAGUUUGCCUGACACCGAUGAACUCGAAAGUGUGACAUACGACCAUUAAUUACGACUUUUGUAGUUAGCCAGCCAGGCUAGCUAGCUAGCUAGCUUGCCAACACCACAGAAAUGCCAAAAGACCGUUGCCAAAUGAUGAGCUGGCAGUCAAUUGGCCCCGAGGUACGCGUAGGCGCGCGAUGUGCAGUCCAGCCAGUGCUGUCAUGGGAACUGCAGCCAUUUGCUGCACAGGCCGCACAUAAAUAAGGCGGACAACUCGCAUGCAGAACAAAAGGAGCUGCUGCAGAGGCAGCUACUGGGCAGAGUCAGAGAGAGCUGAAUUCGUACAGCUCAGAUUUGCUUCGUCUACUUCCAACUGCUUUGGUCGCUUGUUAGUCAUUUGUCUGCAUUUGCAGCUCAUUUGUUUGCUUGGCUUGUUCAGAGUGCGCCGAACAAAAUGUUUUGCAUAUGUCAGAGAGACGCAUAGUCCGAGUCAGUGUCCAGCGCCGCAUGCCCAUCAAUCUGGGGCAUCAAUUUGGGAAAUGCAUCAAAGUUGGCAGCCCGAACAGCUUGAUUAGUUGUACGGCUCACAGGCAGCAACAACAGCAACAGCAACAGUAACAGCUACUACAACAAGAACAACAACAACAUUCGUUGCAUGUGGCUCAUUAGUUUGGUGCCGCUGAGGAGGCUGUGAAAUUGGGAAUCGUCUGGUGUCUACAUCAAAAUUAAGUUUUAAUAAUUGGCUCACAUUUAUAUGCUGGCUUAAUUUGAUUGUGCCGUCGAAUGUUUUCGACUGCGAUCAAUUAAUCAUAGCUCGUUGAUUGUUCUUCUUUCAGCUCUGCUCUGGGCAGUGGGCGUGCCGGUCCUAAUGAAGUUGUGCCCACAGCUCUCCUACAGUCCCAGGAGCGAAUGAUGCCAACUCGUUAAGCGGCUGUUAAUUUCAAAUUUCAAUUGUUAGCUUUCGCCAAUUACCCGAACGUAAACGUUUUGAUUUUCUUUUUAUUUUUGUUUAUUUUUUGUGUGUAUAUCAAGACAAUAUGUGUGCCAAGCAGAUUGUGAGCCUGGCCAGACCUUUUGUCGCCGUCCCGCAAUGAAGUUCACGUCCUGUGCAGCAGCUCCAGCUCGCUGGCUGGGAUAAUGCUAAUCAGUGUCAUCGCAUCAGCGGCAAAAGUGUUUGGAUAUUUGUUUAAUGAAAGCGAAACGCAAGCAGUCACAGACACAUACACAGACACAGGUACAGCCACAGCUCCCUUGGCCUCCUAUCGUGCUGCAAAAAUCAAGUCAUUGGCUUUGGAGCUCGCUCGUCCGACGCGUCCUAUUCCCGGGCUGUUUCGUUGGCAUGCAUUCGUUGCGCAAUUAAUUAAGUUGAGCAUUUUUAAAUGUGUUCGCUGCUUGCUGGCUUUUGCGGGUCGGGUGUUACCAUUUUAAUGCCCAGCGCAGUUCACAGUUCCACAAAGCCAACAGCAACAACAACAACAUCUUGAACAAGUUCUUUAACAUGUCUAAUUAGUUGUUGGACCCUGGACGAUGCUGCUCUUGCUGCUGCGUGCGAUAAAAAAAAUGCAUGGCACUCAUUUAGUGUUUUCUUAAGCUGAGACAUAAAUUUGCAAGCAGUUAAAAGGGUCUGAGCUGGCCAAGCGAUGUGAUUGCUUUUCGCGUAUUUUGCUGACCAGAUAAAAGACACAUCAUGGAGCUGCCUGUGAUCUCAUUUUGGAGCCUAUGCUGAUCGUACGGGACAGGCCAAAUGUGACAGCAGAAGAUUUCAGUUAUAUAAUGCAUAUAGACCCAAUGAUCUGUAAGUUUAUAUCUACAUUUUGAUAGGCACUUUAGAGUAAUUUUGCUACAAUCAUAUUUAUUGGCAAAUUUACUAAUUGUUUAGUUAAAGACAGAUUGCAAA